GUACAGAAGGAUUUGAUCAGUCAGGCUGCUGGCUAUAUUCCAGGACAAGUCUGGUCCUGAUAUAGCCAAGCCCGACUGUAUGGUGCCAAAG
rnacentral:pre_miRNA from 1 species